rnacentral:rRNA from 1 species
AUACGUAGGUGGCAAGCGUUGUCCGGAAUUAUUGGGCGUAAAGGGCGUAUAGGCGGGAUAAUAAGUCUGUUGUAAAAGUGCGGGGCUCAACCCCGUAGGGUCAAUGGAAACUGUUAUUCUUGAGUGCAGGAGAGGAAAGUGGAAUUCCCAGUGUAGCGGUGAAAUGCGUAGAUAUUGGGAGGAACACCAGUGGCGAAGGCGACUUUCUGGACUGUGUCUGACGCUGAGGCGCGAAAGCCAGGGGAGCGAACGGGAUUAGAUACCCCGGUAGUCCUGGCCGUAAACGAUGGGUACUAGGUGUAGGAGGUAUCGACCCCUUCUGUGCCGGAGUUAACGCAAUAAGUACCCCGCCUGGGGAGUACGGCCGCAAGGUUGAA